rnacentral:lncRNA from 10 species
GGCCGGCCCGGGAGUCGCCUGCCAGGCGUGGGGCCAGAGCGGCUCGGCUCCCUCCUGCGUCACUGUCCUUCCAGGCCCCGCUCCACUGCCUCCUCCAGGAAGCCUUCGGGGAAGGAGACCAGCCCUGCGGGGACCGAUGUUUGCUGUAGAAAGGCCCGGCCCUCUGGAUUCUUGGAAGCCAGGCGGCCAAAGACAGCCAAGAGGGCGCAAAGCACUCUGGCCACCUUUUUGGUGUGGUUGAGUCGCGGUCAUCCCCAUUUCACAGAGAAGGACCGAGUCCUGGAAAGGAAGGCGCUCGCCCUCGUGCACAAGGCUGAGCCUGGACUCCGAGCCUGGCCUUUCCUUGCUCCGCCUGCUGGGAACCCGUGUGAAAGAAAGGCCUGUUGCCAAAGGCCUCCAUGUGAACAUCCACACUGGGCUUUGGGUCAGCUUCUACCAGCGUCCCCUCACUGACCCCAGGCCUUGGGGUCGUGGGCCGGGCACCGGUGUGCCAGCCAGAGGCACUGACCACCCUCCUCCCAGGACCUGCCUCCCUGGCCUGGGCGGCCGUGAGAUCCCGUUGCGGGUUGAGGAGACACCACAGGCUCUGGGGCUGUCACUUGGCAUUUUCUCAGGUGUCAUAGGUAGAGGGGCGGCCUGCCCUGCCCCUCCUGCUCUGGUCGCCCCACCCACUAGUCCCCCAAUGUCUGCCCUGUGGCUGGGGCUGCCUGGGUGUCAGGUGCCAUCUGGGCAGGGCACAGGCUGGCCUCAGGGAUGGGUCCCGUGG